CCUACGGGAGGCAGCAGUGGGGAAUAUUGGACAAUGGGCGCAAGCCUGAUCCAGCCAUGCCGCGUGAGUGAAGAAGGCCUUCGGGUUGUAAAGCUCUUUCAGAUGUGAAGAUGAUGACGGUAGCAUCAGAAGAAGCCCCGGCUAAUUUCGUGCCAGCAGCCGCGGUAAUACGAAAGGGGCAAGCGUUGUUCGGAUUUACUGGGGGUAAAGGGCACGCAGGCGGUCUUGCCAGUCAGGGGUGAAAGCCCGGGGCUCAACCCCGGAACUGCCUCUGAUACUGCAGGACUAGAGACUAGGAGAGGGUGGUGGAAUUCCCAGUGUAGAGGUAAAAUUUGUAGAUAUUGGGAGGAACCCCAGAGGAGAAGGCGGCCACGUGGACUAGAUCUGACGCUCAGGUGAGAAAGCGUGGGGAGCAAACAGGAUUAGAUCCCCUUGGAGCCCACGCUGUAAACGAUGAGUUCUAGUUUCCGGACUUCGGUUUCGGUACGCAGCUAACGCAUUAAGCA
rnacentral:rRNA from 1 species